GGGGGCGACUUGGCUUCGACGUGGGUAGCAAAACCUUGAGUGCAUGCCGAGCACAGUACCGCUCGUAAAACCUACUGACUUAAAGUAUUCGCAAACGACGAAAACUACUCAAUGGCUCUGGCUGCCUAACAACAGCCGCCAUUCUUCCGGCUGCCUGUGCUUGUGCGGGUAGAGUUUUUCUUAACGAGAAACGCCUGGAAGUCAUCCUACACAAGACCGCGCUUUAGGCUUCUGUUCGUAGCCAACGGCGUUAAAUCAAUCGAACUCGCCGGUUGUCGUCUUGGCCUGACGGGUAGCUUCCGGUUAAAUCAAAAGCUCAGGAUAAGCAUGUAGACCUUUAGGCGGAGUGCUUGCGGACGCGGGUUCAAUUCCCGCCGCCUCCACCA
rnacentral:tmRNA from 1 species